CCAAUGAUAAUUUUAAUGGCCGCAGUAUUUUGACUGUGCAAAGGUAGCAUAAUCAUUAGUUUCUUAAUUAGAAACUAGAAUGAAAGGUUGAACGAGAAAAUAACUGUCUCUUUAUAAUUUUUUUAGAAUUUUAUUUUUAAGUUAAAAAGCUUAAAUAAAUUUGAAAGACGAGAAGACCCUAUAGAGUUUAAUAUUUUAUUAAUUAAAUUUUAAAAAUAGAAUUAUAUUUAUUUUAUUAAAAAAAGUAUUUAAUUGGGGUGAUUGAAAAAUUUAAUUAACUUUUUUUUUAUUUUAACAUUUUUAUAUGAUAAAUUGAUCCAUUAUUAAUGAUUAUAAGAUUAAAUUACCUUAGGGAUAACAGCGUAAUUUUUUUUAAGAGUUCCUAUCGAUAAAAAAGUUUGCGACCUCGAUGUUGGAUUAAAAUUAAUUUUUGGUGUAGAAGCUAAAAUAUUAGGUCUGUUCGACCUUUAAAAUUUU
rnacentral:rRNA from 1 species